CGAGUUAAACCAGCUGAUACUAACCAAAUCACACUCAUCAGCACCAUCCGUCUGCUGGUUCCAGACCUGGUUGUGGUACCAGUGCCUGGAGAUGAUGUCACUCUGCCAUGUCAGGCUGCUGGUUCCUCCAUCAGAGCUGUAGAGUGGACCAGACCUGACCUGGAACCAGAGUACGUCCUCUUAUACAGAGAUGGACACCUGGAGACAGACCACCAGCAUCCAUCCUUUAAGGACAGGGUGGAGCUGGUGGACAGAGAUCUGAAGGACGGAGACGUGUCUUUAAUUCUGAAGAAUGUGAACAGCAUCGACAACGGGACAUACGAGUGUCGAGUUAAACCAGCUGGUUCAAGGCGGGAAAGAAGAGCCAUCAUUGACUCUGAGCCAAUCAGAAUCAUCCGUCUGCAGGUUCCAGAGCCAGCAGGUCCAAACAGUGGACGCCCCGAGGAUGGAAACCCAAAGAAUGAUGUCCCUGAGGACAGAAACUCCUCUCCUGUAGUCCUCAUCGUUGGACU